AAAGUAAGAGGACCAUUCGAUGUUGUAAUAAAAUUCAACUCCGAUGAACGAUUAUUGUAAAUAAAAUCAAUGUUCUGUUGAGCAGACAUGUUUUCAAACGAAUCAUCGAAAAUGUUGUAGUAGUGAACAUCAAUUACAGACCUCAUAAGACCAUUGGCAAGAGGAAAGAGUUCCUUGGGUUCUGAGGGUCUUAGCCUAUUUGACAUAACCACAUAGGUAGUGGUGGAGUGUUUACGCACCGCGUAGUAACCAGCCUUGUAGUACUUGUUUAUGGUCUCUAGGGUUACACCUGGAGAGAGAGGUUCGUUUAAGAGUUCAAUAUAGACUAGGGUUUUUUGUAUACCUAGAAAUAUAGGACACCAUACUUGUGUUUCCUGCAUAUAAAUUUUUAUAAGGAUACCAUACUUGUUACAAUGUUAUGUUAACGUGCAAAGUUCAUCAUUAAUCAAGAUAUUUGCAUUCUAGAAUCUAGCUUUUUGGUAACUAUAAUUGGUAGGUUCAAAACAAACCUAAUCAACAAUAUUACUACAGCUCAAUAAUGCCUUCAAACUGCUCAAAAAAUUAAAAAGAAAAAACAUAUUCAUUAGAAGCUACAACUCGAUCACAAUUUACUCACAAAAAAAUGUCGAUCCAGACACUCGAUUGAACAAUUUGAAGGAGGUAUCUUGAGCAAUUACUUAAAAUUAUUAUAAAAGAAUUAUAAUUGGUUAAUGAACUUACACAGCCCACAAACCAACUGGAAUUCUAACUGCCAUGGUGGAGUUACUUGCAAAGAACCUCCAACAUAAGGCCAUGGUGGAGUUGGGUCACUAGCUAUCCACCAACCAACUGGAAUUCUAACUGCAUUUAAUCCAUUCCUAGCUAUGAACUUGAAAUCAUCUUCAACUAUAAAACUGCUCCAAUGAUCCUAAUUAAAAAAAAUACCAUCAAUUAAGCACAAUACAACUUGCUAGUUGCCACAUAUCUCAAAUUUGAUAAACUUGAACAUAAACAUAAAAAGAAAAGUAAAAUAAAAAAAGUUUAUGCUGCUAAUGAGUGUCAUUUGAACCUGUAAAAAACUGAUCGAUCGUUUGUAAAAGAAUUAAUACUAAAAAUCAAACUAUUCAAGUAUAUAAUCCAUCUACCAAUUAUCAUCAUGUGUAACAAUUAUUACAAACAAUAUAUAAUUGACUUUUUUAUGUAAAAAAAUUGUGGUGAUAGUACCUGAUCGGGGAGAGACACGAGAAGAUUACCACUUGGUAGAGCGACUCGAGAGACACUCAAAAAAUUGUCACUCAAAGCGGCCUGCCCCGCACGAACUCCCCACUAGACUCAAUUGUCUCUAUGAUAGAACAUAUGUAAUUCACUCUCCACCCGUAGUAGGAACAAAAAAAAAAAAACUAAAUUGCUUAUCUAAAAAGAAUUUCCACUGUAUUCCAUCGACUUGUAAGAAGACCUUAGAGUUUAGAGAACAAGAAGAGAUUUACAUUUACCAGUCUCCAAGAGAAUACAUGAUUCCAGGUUUGGAUUGCGUUCAAAGGCAACAUAUGAGAGAAUCAAGAAAUUUUAAAUUUUAAAUAUUAAUUUUUGGUUUUGAGGCAUCUUUUUAAUAAUGUUUUGAAAAAAUAAUGUCAAAAAGAAAACGACAACUAAUAUAUCAUUGGUAUUUUUCUUCAAAAAACAAAAUCAUUGGUAUUACCAUUUUAUUAACGAAAACUAGUUAAUUUUUCACAUAUAGAAGGUAGCUAUAUAUCUAACAAAAAUUGCUUGAAAUAUAUCACCCAAAAAUACUCAACAAAGAAAAUAUACACAUAAAAAUGUGAAAUAUACUUUAAAUAAGAGACAUGUUUCCAUUUGUUUUUUUGCAAGAUAACAUGCUUAAAUGAGGGGUUAAGGUGAUCUUCAUUUCUUAAAAGAAAUGUAUAAAUCUAGUACUAUAAUUAUUAGUUAUAUAAAUAAUAUAAAGACGUCCAACUUGAAAGAAAUGUAGGUAGAGGUCAUUUUUUUGUGCACAAUUGAAAUUGCAAAUUACUUGAGAUUCAUACAUAUAACUACGGGGUUUUGGGUUUAAAUUUGGAUGAAGACGUCCAUAUUAACUAACAAUAAAUAUUGACAUUUUCAAUUGAGCUAGGUUUUACGGAAAAAAUAAUCCUCACUUGUAUAUCAUAUCAUAUCACAUUAUAAUGAAACUUAUAACCUAGACAAGAAUAAUUCUUCUAAAAAAAAUCCUAGACAAAAAUAUAUUUCUAUAUGUGGGGAUUUAUGUCUUGUGCCUUUUACCUUCAUAACUUGUGCAGCUUUUGUAGGCCCAUAACCAUUUGUUAUUUGGAAAUCACCUUGCAAUCUUGCAGCAAUGGUCAUUUCAAAAACGGUUAGAUAUCUUUCCAUCUUCUAACCAUUGAAAUAUCAGCUGUCACCAGAUUUUCUGUUUUUGCCUGCAAGUCACGAUUUUCAUUUUAAUUUUGUUCGCCACAUAUAUGAAAGUUAAUCCGAAUACUAAUUGUUGCCCUAAUUUUAACCUAAAUUCAGUGCUUGCUUUUACCGUAUUACCCCUGUUUAAAAUAUCAAAUUGCAUAAAGCUCCUAUUUUUUUAAAAAAAUUGUUUCCUACUAAACAGAUAAACAUAAAAAUAAAAAAAACAUAUCACCCCUAUUAAUUAGACAUCGUUCAAAUCACUCCUAUUCGACAUCAUCAUUCAAAUCAUCAUCAUAAUUAUAAGUCAUCAUUCUCAUCGUCAAUAUAAAUUAGACAUUAUCAUCAUCAAUAUAAAAUAGACAUGCACUUUAUCCAUCAAUAUAACUAGUAACAUCACCCUCAUCAUCAUUAUAAAAUGAACGUCAUCAAUAUGUCUGAAUGAGGUCAAACCAAAGCUAAGAGAAAUUUAAUACCCAUAUCUACAAGUUUCAUGAAGGAACCUAAAUCCAAUUCGAUACAAAGUGGGGUGAAAAGGUUGGUUUUCCUAAACCUAGACAGAAUGUACAACCGUGCUGACCUCUGUGUAGUAUUUUGAUCAUAACUCAAGUUUUUGAUGUUCUAUUGGAGUCGAUCCAAAGCCACAUGAAAACUGACAUCCAUAUCUACAACCUUUAUGUUUACAUCGAAACCUAGUUCAAAACAUAAAAUAGUCGAAAAUUGGUUUUCUUAAGCCUCGGAACAGAGCACGACCCUGCUGACCUAUGUGUAGUAUUUUGAUCAUAUCUUGAGUUCUAGAUUUUGGAAUAAGGUCAGACCAACUCCAAAUUAAAUCUAACACUCAUAUCUACAAAUUUCAUGAGGACACAUAAUCCUAAUUCUGAACAGAAAAAUCCCAGUCUUUAUUUUUGUUUUAGGUUACAUAAAUCAUAGAUUUUAUGCGAUUUCACCUUAGGGGACCUUUCCUAACUUCGUUUUCAACCCUAAUCUUCACUCUGUGAUUAACCUAUCAUUCAAACACUAAUCAUAGGUUAACCUACUGGAUUAUUCACUCUUUUUAAGACUAAAAACUCAAUUAGAAAAAACUAAACUAGUUUUUCUCAAUUCUCAUCUUUCAACUUCACAUUUUCAAUUCGUUCAUCAUCAUUCUCUCAUCAAAGUUCACAUCAUAACAGUAACAACAUUUUAAAAUUUAAGAAAACCCUCCUGUCAUAGAUUAAGAUACCCUAAAGUUCAAAGAUUCUCCCUCUUACAUCUAAUUUGUCCCCUCGUUGACCUAAGAUACUCCUUAAGAGCGUCAUCUACAGUAUAAGCUCGAACCACCACUACUUGUCAUCUAAAGAAUAAAAUCAAUGCUUAUUAAUCUCAAAUCGACAUCUCAUUCAUCAACACUUAUCAUAUUUUCGAUCACACAUAAUCAUAUUCCAAUAGUCAUCAUAUACAUGUUGCAUACUAAAAAUUACAUUCAAAUACAUAACAUCACAUCACAUCUAUAUCAAUCAUUAAAUAAGCCAUCAAUCUAAAUAGUUGCAGCAAAUCAAGCAUAAGCACACACAAAUUUAUCCAUGACUUCAAAUACUACAUAUUAACAUAAUUUAAAUCAAGCAACACCUUAAUAAUGUUUCAAAUUCUUCUUUUAACUUCUCACGUCUAAAUUUGCACAUUAAUUAAUUAUUCCCUCAAAGGGCUGCAACCGUUGCGAUGGGCCCCGAAUGAACUUUGGAAAAUACGGCUUCCCGUUCAUCUCAAUUAAUUUACACUCAUGAUCUCGAACUCUUCUCUCUUACCCCAUACCUUAUCUGACGCUUCCCAAUGAUAAUCAAAGUCAACGAGCAAAAGUCUUUGAUUCCUUUGACUCCUCCCCCGGUUGGUCUGACUAGAAAAUUUAUGAUUAAAUGUCAAAAAUAAAAUAUGAGAAGACACUUUAAUAAGUAAAUCACGAAUUUGGGUGAAAGAAACUUACCCUAAUCAAAGAAUCAAUCGGUGGUUAAUGUAUCUAACAUUCAUGGUGAAUUUGGCGUUGAUUUCACUCAAUUAGACUCAAUUCGGAACAAAAUUGGAGAAAAUUCUCUCACACUGAUCGACACUGAAACCUGGAUUUUCUUCCUCCUGCUACGGUCGUUUACUUCCUCUCCUAUUCACAUGCCCUACUUUUUUUUCUUUGCACUACACGUAAUAUACUACUACUGAUUACUCCCUCCGGUCAUUACUAUAAGCAAAAAUUUGCUCCAUGACCACAUACAUCAUUUAAUGAAUGAACCUAAAAAGUAAAUUUUUGCUUAUAAUAGUGACCGGAGGGAGCAAGUCAUAAACAAAUAGAUUACUAUUAUUUCUCACGUGUUGCUAUUUGAUGUUAUUUGAUUUUUAUUAAGCUAGGUUACAAACAAAUGGGCGACCCAUUACUACCAACUGUCAUUUUAAUUUCGUUUGUGCACUAAUUGUGGAAGAUUUGCAGAAUGAACUACCAGAUUAGAGAAAUGCAUCUUAGCCAACUUCACAAAGACAAAACAAUACUAUUUAUGACGUUAGCGUAAUAAAAAGAGUCGGAAAGUAAUAAACACAUGUUUAUAUAAAUAACAUAUGUAACAAAUAUAUAAGAAUAAAUCACAAAUUUUGAGUUGACUAUGUUUUUUCUGCAAUACUUCUGUAGACAACCAUCUACCUCCUUUGCCAAAUUACUGAGAUGAAAUAUUCCACUGUUUUGAUGAAGCUUUAAGUUUUCGUCCAAGAAGUUUUCUAAUGAUUUGAUGUGAAACUUUAGAAUUGGUGAUGAAGUCUGUAGUUUGUGGUACACUGUCUCAAAACUUUCGCCUAUGGUCAAACGUUCAGCCAUCUGCCAAACGUGAUUGCCUUCUAUAGUAAACUAUAGGAACUCAUCAUCAACACGAGUCUAAAUGUCCCUCCAGCCGGAGAUAAUUUUUAGCAUUCUAAGCAUUGUCUGAAUCAAAUUAGAAUGGUGUUAACUAGAUGAAUAUAUUUAUACAUACAAUUAUACAUUUAAAUAACUUUUUCUAUAAUAAAGAUUGUUGUUGGUGUCAUUAAGAAAAGAAUUUAAAUUAUAUUUUGUUGUUAUAUUGUUGGUGUCAUUGAAAUAUAUAACUGAUUAGUUUGAUUUGUUAACUUGAAAGCAACAAGCAUUUUGUUUUUAUUUAAAUCAAAAUCAAAAUUUCUUAAAAAAAAAAAUAUUUUUUUAUAAUUUUCAAACGUUUGUGCAAUAAAAAGAACGGAAAGAUGGGCAAGUGAGUAUCCGUCUUUUCGCUAGCAUAAUAUAAUAAAAAAAAAGUCCAUGAAAACGUGUAGAAAUCCACAAUGAAAAUAUAUAAUGGGUUUCGAAACUCCCCAUAAAAUAAAAUGGGGGUAGAAACUCACUAAAAAAAAUUGAAACGGCACCGUGAAAAACUAAUUUGCAAACUCACAAUCAGACAAGGGAAAGGAAGUAAGGUUAGACAUGGAAAACUGAGAGCGGCUUUUAUUAAAAUAACAAUUCCAAGUUUCUUUUCCAUACAUCAUCCAAGACUAAUAAUAAAAAAUCUUUUACCUUGCAACAUUUCAUGAACUUUUAUUUCCAUUACAUCUAAAAAAAUCUGAGCAAAGAACACAUCUAUAAGUUACAUGAACUUUUACCUUUCAUUGCGUCGGAUAUUUAUUGAGUUUUUAACAAAAAACUAAACCUACUCAAAAUAUAAAAUAAAUAAAGUUUUAGUAUCCAAGUUGAAAAAUUAUCAGGAGUACAUGUUUAUAAUAAAAACAAUAACCACAUGUAGGAAAAUAUAAUUUUUUUUCUUAUAAAUAUAUAAAAUAAAUUAAAAUAAAUAAUUUAAUCUAGUAGUCAUCUAAAAUUUUCUCGAUCAAUUUAUCAUUUAAAAAAUGAAUGAAUUAUCUUUCAAAUUUGACAAAAUCUAUGCUAAAUGAAAUAUAAUUUAAAAUAAAAUAAAAUCAAUGAGAAAAACUGAGAAACACAUAAAUAGUUUUAAAUAAGUAAAAACUCGUGUGAAUUUCUAUGUGUUUUUCAUAUGAUUUUUAGCUGAAAAUACACUUUUCAUGAAUAGUUUAUAUCAUAUGAAAAGCACCUAAGGGAAUUCACCUAAGAUUUUUGUUAGAGUUAAAAUAAGGAUAAAACUUAAUGCAUUUUCUUAAAUGUUAUCCGCGUGGUAUAUCACAUAAAAUACUUACAACUAUCUGUGGUUUCUCAAAUCCCCAAAUUUUUUUUUUUAAGUUUAUUAUAACCAUAAAAAAUGAAUUUUAAUCAUGUGAAGAACUAUACGAAAAGCAUGUAAGAAAAAUUAACCUAAGUUUUGUCCUUAAAAUAAAUGAUUUAUUUUAUAAUGACAAAUAUUAGCAAAUUAGUUGUUAAAAAAGAACACAAAUAAAUAAAUAAAUAACAAAAACAAUCUUACAUUUCAAAUAUAUAUUUUAAUCUGCGAAUAUACGCAGAGUAUUGGUAUCUGAUACGAAUUUGAUACAGGUAUGUUUAAAAUUUUUUAAAAAGGUACAAAAAUAAUUAAUUAAUUUUUUUUGAAAGAAGGUAUAAAAAUAAUUAAAUAGCCUAAAACAACACAAUAACAUAAGUGAUGAAUUUUUUGGGGAAGUGUUCGAAGAGGUGCUUUUGUACUAUGUUCAUCGAAUGUUACAAUCUUAUUUCAUAUAAAAUUAACCAUUAAUGAAACGUCAAAUUAGGCGGCUAUAUAUGUAUGAAUAAGACAGGACAUAGGUAUAAUCUAAUUGUAGAGUAACAACUAGUAAUCAUCCAAUGAUAUAAAUAACUACGAAUGGUGAGAUAAUUUGUAUAUACACAACCUUAUUUUGAGACUUUAGUUUCACAUUUCUGCGCCAUUAUGCCAUUUUUGUGUUUCACACUACUAGAAAAUUCAGAUUUUGCGACGGAAAUUUGCGAGGUAUUGUAAACCGUCGCAAAUUGUGACGGAUUUUGUGAGGGAUGCUGUGAAUAUAUCAUUAGCGACAGGUUUUGCGAGGGUUUCUGCCGUCCCUACGUAUCCGUCAUAAAUUCCGUCAAAAAUGUGCAGUUUCCAAGUUUUGUGAGGUAUUUAGCGACGGUUUUAUUCCAUCUUUAACUGCUCCGUCACAUAUUCCGUUAGAUUCCUCUAAUAUUUAGCGACGUCCUUGAAUGCCGUCACAAAGAAAUUAUCUCGUUUUUGGUAUUAAAUGAUGCAAAAUAAUUUAAUUGAAAUUUUUGGGUGAGAUGAGACUCAAACCCACAACUUUGUAACAAGGAUCAAGUAUAAUUACCACCACGCCAUGGUUUCUCAUUUGUUAAUUUGUUUAUUUGAUUUUUAUUAGUACUAAGUUAUAUCCGUUUGUUUUUUUCAAAAUCUUUCCUUUUCUUUUCUACUAACAAACGCUUGACCCACUAAUUUGUAUUUUUUUAGUUUUUUUUCUUCUUCAUUUUCACUUAUAUUUUAUUCAAAUUUUAAUUUUAAUUCAAUUUUUAUUGUUUUUAUAAUAUGUCAAAAAAAAAAUCACUUAUUUUAUAUUUAAAUUUUAAUUCAAUUGUUUUUAUUAAUAUGUCUUUAUCACUUGUAAUUUGGGCGAGUUCCGGUUUACCCUUAUAAAAAAAAGUUUAAAUUUCAAUAUGAAGAUUCUCCACAAAAUAUUUAUGUCUCCAUCCAGACGCUGAUGUGGCACGUCACUAUGUAAUUAUUUUAAUUUUGAUUUUUUUAAAACCUGACAUGUGUGUAUUGGUUUUUUUUUUGCGGUGUUCGGGUUUGAAGCCCGAACCUUGCAUACAUUAUGGAUUGUCCUUACCAACUGAGCUAAGCUCACAGGGACACAUGUAUGUAAUGGUUUAAAAUAUUAAUUUAAUUUCUUAUUUAAAAUUAUUUUAAAAAAAGAUGUAAAAAGUAAAUAAUUUGAAAAUUAAUUUUCAAAAAUUAAAAAAAUCUGUUUUUUUUUAAAUGUAAAAAAAUGGAUUUUUUUUUUAUUUCAAAAAUCAGAAAAAAAAUUCAGAUUUUUUUCUCAAAAUAAAAUUGAGUAAACCAUUAAAUUGGUCCCUAUCUUUAUAUUAAGUUCUCAAUUUGGACACUCACUCAAUCUCUUGUGCCUCAACUUCAUCCAAUGUGUCAAGAGCAAUUCUCUUUUUGUUAAAAGCUUUCCAUUUCCUUACAGCCAAAGGCGUGAAAGCCUUCUAUACACUGAUCUGUUCAAUUACUCUUCUCUUCAACUCUUCUUCAUUCCAAAUCAUGCUUCAUUUCCAACUCUUUACUUCUCUACAACAUGGUAACUCUCUUCUCUCCUGAAAACAAAACCUCCCAUUCCACCACCAUCCUCGUCAGAGAGCAAUCGACCCCUUUUGUAUACAACAUCUCUGUACCAAUCGAAAAUCAGAGAGCAAAGAUCUCUUCUUUUCUGUGUUCUCAACACCCAUUACAGGUUUUCAUCUCUUCACCUUUCUCCUAUUUUCCUUUUUUUUCCUAACUUUGUUUUUGGAUAGUUAGUUUGUCUGAUGGGAUUGUUUUUCAGUGAUUCUGCAGGGAGUUCCGACCUCUGAUCCAAAUAAAACAUGACCGAGAAACUGGUAAGGUUUUUCAUGUUCUUGAUGGCAUGCUGCUCAAGGAUGGAUUUUUGUAUAAGAAAGUAUCUCUAGAUUCGUUAAAUUUUUGGGAUGUUGUUCCUACUGAAGAGGAGCUAUUAAAGUUUGGGCCUUCCAAAAAUAGUGAAUCAAAUGAUAUGGAGUGGCUUUCUAAUAUUUAUGGUGACUCAAAGAAAAAACGGGUUAUUAUAGCUGAGAAGGGGGGCGAUGGUAAAGGAGAGGGCUCAUUAGCUUCGGGCGCAGGAAAUGAUUUUGAGUUAUAUGCUCUUGUGCGUUUUCGGUAAGUUUUUUGUUAAAUUUAGCAUUCAUUAUAUCAUACAAAUUCGCUUUCCCCCCCCUUCCCCUCUCUCUCUCUCUCUCUCUCACACACACACACACACACAUGCAGAUGUGCACACAUGCACAUCUUGCAGAUCCAUGAUUUUCAUGUCUGAUAGAGCUUUGCCAUUGCAGCAAAAAAGAAGAAAAUUGUGUAAUAAUAAGCACAGAUAAAGAUGGUACUUACAAGGUACGAUAUUUAGUUUAUGCACUGUUCUAUGUAUAAGCCUUUGAUUUUGAGUGUCUAGUGCAUUUUUAUAGUUAUAUCAUAGUUUUCCUGUCUGUUGUAGAUUCUAAAAGAGAGUUUAAACGGACCAGUUGCAGUAACUGUUCAACAAAACAAAAUAAAAAGUGUGAUGUGCGGUGAAAUUGGUCUGAACUUUGAGAAUUAGCCAUUAUGAUGGUCCUCAUUUUUAUGCUUGCCCGUUAUGUAAAUGAUGCUUUGGCUUUUUAGCACAUUCUUAUAGUCUCCUUCAUUCUUUUCGUACUUUUAGCACAAUUUUGGCAUCAUCUUGAGAAGUCUGGAAGCAGCUCUACCACAUAUUUUGCAAAAGGUUUGUUUUUGGCUUUUUUUUUUUACUUUGGCAAGAAAAUAACAGUGACAAGAAUAAUAGAAUGAGGGAGUGUAAUAUAUUAAUUCUACUGAUUUUCAAGGAUCAAAUGAAUAUGACAUGUUUUUUUUCUAAGCUACAUAUAUGAUUCUAUGUUAAUACAUUUUGGUUGUACUAUUGUUCAGUUGGUUUUGUUAUCUAGCAUGAAGAGAAAUGAUAUUAUUAUAAGAUGAGCCCUUUAUAUUGAUGUGAACAAAGCCAAGCUUAAAUGAAUUGGUGUUUAGACAACAACUACAACACCCGGACACUCAACUUGAAUAGUCACUGUUGAUCUUCAAACAAUUACUACAAGUAAAACUUACUUCAUUUAAGAAAUUUCCUUUGUGUCUUAGUUUGCUUUGCUGAUAUUAAAUUCAUUAUUCAUAUUGAACUCAUUGUUGUUGGCCAUUGAAUUAAGUUGCAGUGCUUGUAUGGUUAGUUUUAGUCUAAUUCAAUUAAUAAUCACUUUUAUAUCACUUUGUUACAUAUUUUCAAAAAAGAAAUGAGAAUCUAAAAUAAAAUAAAAAAAUAACAAUUGCUUAAAAUCAUAAGCAUUUUUUCAGCUGCUUCAGUUAUCCAGCAGGAGUUAUGUCCAACGUGGAAAAUCUGUUAAAGUCACUCCUCGGUUUCAUGAAAACAGGACAACAACUUCCUUCCAAGGAAGCUAUGCGAAUGACAAGCUUAACCGUCCUGAUGUCGCUGCAACUCCAACUGUCAUUAAAUCAUACUUCUCAGUGUGUAGAUAGUUUAGUGAACAAUCACAAAAAGUACAUGAGCCAAACUGUGGUAAGCCCAUUUCAACUUAUGGAAAAAGUUAUCAGUUAUAUACUCAUAAUCAUUGUUGUAUAUUUUGGUUCUGAAAUUUGUUUAGAACAGAAAAGUAGUGAAUAGGGGAUACUACCAUGUUGAUACACCAGCACAUGGUGCAUAAGUGAAGCCAAGAAUCAAUUCUUUAUCAAAGCAUACCCAACAUUAGGAAGUUUCAUCUGCCACAACAUGCAUGAUCAUGCUUUUCCUUCUAUUAUUACAGAUAUAGGGCUGCAUUGUAGGAUGAAUAUGAAAGACUGAUUUUUGAAAGGAACUCACAACAAACAGAGGGGGAUGAUGUGUCUAAUGACCAUCAGUUAGACAACUUCAUCUUCUUGGACGUAGUUGGGGGAGUCGACAAGAAAGGACGCAUUUAUGGUUUGGGCAUAUGAGGACUGCAAUAUCUAAAAUGUCAGCUGAAAACAUGGAACUCAAGGAGCGGUUGAAGACUAACGAGGAAUUGAUUCGUGCAUCACAGAGGGAGUCACGUUUAGCUCGAGAGCAGUCACAAGAGGAUUCGCGAUUGCUUCGAGAGCAAUUCCAGAAAUUCAUGGAGUCUUUUACACAAAGCCAUUCAUAUCUACCUCCUUAUGGACCUCAUCGUUCGAGUUAGGAUUAACAUCUGUGUCCACCUACUUGAUUAUUUAUCAUAUUAUUUUGAAAAUUUGAUUAUAACUUUUAGUUUAAAGUAAAUGUUCUAAUACUAUUUAGUUAUUAUUUUAAUAUAUUUUGAUGCAAAAGAUAAGUAGUGUGAUUCUUGUGAACGCAAUCAAAAAGGUUUUUCAUCAAAUAUUAAUGUGAUUUUUAUGGUAUUUUAUCAUAUUAAUGUAUUUUAUCUUGUGAUUUUUUAUCACCUUGUUUUAUAUUCCAAAAGUGUUUUGAGAAAUAAUUGAGAAAUUUUCUAAACUAAUUUUAAGGGAAAAAAAACUUAUUUGUGACGGAAAAUAUCAAAGUCACAAAAAUUUUGUCUUGCAGUGUAGCAUCGGAUAUCAAAGCGACGCUAUUUAAAUUCCCAGAUAAUUUGCGACGGUGGUGUUCUCUCAGUUAUUUGCCACGGUUUUUCCCCUCAGUAAUUUGUGACGGAUAUUUUAAACGUCGGUACUUUGUGACGGAAAACUGGGUUACACGUAUCCAUACUGCGAGAGGUUUAGCGACGGAUAUUUGGAGUUUGCGACUGAAUAUCGCAAUGAGUGACGGAGCUGAUAUUCCGUCGGUCAAUUUUUCCGACCCCCAUUAUUACGACGGAUUAUUGAAGCGUCGCAAAACCCGUCAGAAAGUCGUUUGCUACGGAAUUUUAAGUCUUUUGCGACGGAAAAAGGCCGUCGCUAAAUCCGAGUUUUCUAGUAGUGUUAGAAGACGACUCAUCGAUGAUCAGAUAAGGAUACGUAAUGAACAAGUUGCAAUAGAAAAUAGACAAACUGAAUGCCCAACAACAGAAACUUCAACAACAACAACAGGAAACUGACCCAUGGUAAGGUUUUGCAACACAUAAUUUUCACUUCUCUCUUGGAAAGAUAUUUUUCUAGGAGAUAAAAAUUGGUUAGGUAUUCACCUUGCAAAUUUAUUUAUUUUUUUAUUUUUUUAAAGUUGUAAAAUUAUUUCAAUAUCAUUUUAAUUAAUUAAUAAUUUUCAACCCAUUUAGCCUAACUUGGUGUUCGGGAGAUCUUGAAUUGUGCUCAUCUUUAGAUCUUAGAUUCAAUUAUCCUCGAUGUUAAUUUCAUUGAGCUAGUUUGACUUCUUAAAAAAAUUAAUUGAUAAUAAUUUCUAUAAUAUUUUAUAAAGUCCAAAUGAUUAAGUUUAACGUAACAAAUAUCUGAAUAUAGAAAUCAAAUUUUGUGAACGAACAUUCUAUAAUAUUCUAAACAUGUAUGUCUGCAAAAAAGUCUUUGGAGAGGGGUUUUUGAACGAGAGCAUGAGUAGCCGCCGCUACCAUUGUUUGAUUCUCAAACUCCUUUGUGUUUCACAAUUGAACAAUCCGUGAAUUAAAAAACAAUUCACUUGUGUAUUGUUUUGUUCUAUGUGCUUCCCAAUUGUAGUUUGUCCACCAAUUGGUUUAAUUGCUUUUCUACUUCUCUUCGUUUACGUGAAACCGUUUUAGAAUUGUUAAUUCAAUUCUCUUGGUUGGUUCACGUUCUUCAAUUUUCUAAGUUCGAUCUCAGCUGCCAUGUUUGACUGGCAGACUGAGAUGUCUGUUUCGGCAGCGACCCCAGAGGCUGCGAGGGUAGUCACACCUCCCCCACCAGUUGCUUCUCCAGUGAUUUCGUUUGCACAGGCUUUGACAGCUUCGACCAAGGCUGCUUCCAACGACAAUUUACCUCAACCUUUGAUUCGAGGUGAAAGAGUUAGCAUCAAGAUUACACAUAAUAUCUAUGAAAAAGGAAUGGCUUUUUGUAAGACAAAUUUGCGAGGUAGGCUCACUAGUACAAAAAACACUUUUUAAUUCAAACAUUUUAAAUGGGUUGCUAUCCACUUGAUUUAAAAAGAAGAAAAGUGGCAAGUUUUUUAAAAAGAAGAAAAAAAAUGGGUUGCUAUCCAGCGCUGGUUAUGAACAAAGGCGAUAAGCCUUAUGCGACCAAAGAAAUUCAGUCGAAACUCCAAAAACUUUGGAAGACAACAGGAGCAUGGAGUAUGACUUCUUUAGGAAGAGGGUACAAUGAAUUUUUCUUUGCAACAAAGAUGGAUAUGCGCACGGUCUGGGCUGCGGGCACGAUCAACUUGAAGCCGGGUGUUCUUCGACUGUUUGAGUGGUCUAAAGAUUUUAAUAUACAUACUCAGCGCAACACACAUGCUCAGGUGUGGAUUCGAUUGCUUGAAUUGCCUCAGGAGUAUUGGAUGGAGCAGACACUUCGAGAGAUUGCCAGUGCAAUUGGUACACCUCUUUUGAUUGACAAAGUGACGUCAAAACGCUUGUUCGGUCACUAUGCACGAAUUCUGGUUGAUAUGGAUUUCUCUCGCAAGCUCUUUCACGAAAUUGAGGUCGAGAGACAAGGGUACUCCUUUACACUAGAAGUUGCCUAUGAAUGGUUACCGGAUUUCUGUUCUCACUGUCAGAAUAUAGGUCAUGAUGUCACUGCUUGCAGAUGGCUUUAUCCUAGGAAGGAAACAAAGAAACAUAAGGAACAAACUGCGCAGGGGAAGAAGCAAGUCCCUGCAAAUAAGGAUACUUGGGUACCAAUAAAAGAUAAUCCAUCUGGCAUUGGUUCCUCAAAAGCUUUUGGCUCCUCAAAAGAAAAUGAUUCAGAACCGAUAAAUCUAGAUGAGGAAACGGAAGUAGUCCCACAACAAUCAAUGAAUUCAAAUGUUCCCUUUCAGAAAACACUUGAGGCGACACAUUUGGCGGAGGAAAUAGAAAUUGUCCCACAUCCGCAGCACCAAUCCACAAAUUCAGAUAUUCCAGCUCAAAUACCACUUGAGGCCGCAUCUUUGGAGGCUACCUUGGAGAUGGAUGCAACGUCCCAAUCCCAAGGGGGCGAUAUUAUUGACCACACAGAUGACAUCUCGGUUGUAACACCGACAAUUAUGGUAACUCCUAUUUCUCAUAGCCCUACUAUUACUAAUAAUACUUUUACCAUACAACUUGAGAAUGUAUCUGAUGAGAUAGCUAGAAAUGAUUUGGAGGAGAACCAAGAACAUAUUUUAUCCCCAGUCAAGGAAAAAACAUUGGAUGUCAGUAGUAUUAUGGCGCCGAAUGGUGCUCCUGUAGACCCAAUGUUGCAGAAAGAGUUAGAUUUUAUGCAAACUUGGCUAGCAAAGGCUGCUGUGAAUGAGGUGCCAUUUAAAGAGGUAGUUUCAAAGUCUCAGAAGAAAAAGAACGUGCAAAAGGCUUCAUACAAAACCCGCUCUCAGGGUCCUCUUCCUCCGUUUAAAUGAAUAAUUUUGUUUUGGAAGAUCCGGGGGAUUGGUAAUAAUGAUUCCCUGCUUGAUACUACGUGGUUCACUAUGUUGCCUUCUUCUUUGUUGGCGGAUUUUACUAGGGACAUAAAUGGGAUGCCUAUUUAUCGAUUUUGUUAGCUAUUUUGGUCCCUUGUUUUUUCUGUAUAUAUUUAUUUCUCUUUUGAGGGUUUUGGCCUAGUCCCCCCUUAUUGUAAAUUUUUUUCCUUUCUUUUUUUUUUUUUAAUAAUAUUACGUAUUGGAAAGGCGGUAGAGGAUGGGGGCUUCUGUUGCGGUGCCAACCUAGUUGGGAUGCUUCAGAUUCUCCCGGAUGCCCAACCUUUCUCUUGGCCUAUCAAAAAAAAAAAAAGUCUUUUAAAAAUGCUUUGAUUUAACAACUAAAAUUGUAAUUGCUUGCACAAUCAUUAUUUGUAGACCAAAAAGUGUGAUUAUUUUAUUGGGUGGAAAAAAAUACUAGUUAAUUUUAUAAAGAAGAAUAACAUAUUUAACUCUUAGAUUUUAAUCAAAGAUAAUUUAUCUUAAUAUAGGAUUAUUAACAUAAAAACUAUAUUAGAAAAAAAACAUUUUUCACCGGAUACCCAUAUAUUUACAAAUUUGUUUCUGGUAAAAAAAACAUUUUUCACCGGAUACCCAAUAUAUUUACAAGUUUAGUUGGGCGCAUUUUUUAAAUUAUUUGUAAACAUUUGGAUUCCACCAAUAUCCUCUUUGUAUAUAACUCUCAUCAAAUGAAGUCUUCGAUUUUCAUUUUUUGACUCAAUACUGUCGAGGGAGAUGUGAUAUUGUUGAGGGAGAUGUGAUAUUGAAAGCAAACUUGAUUAAACAAGGCAUCGAUUUAUGGUGUUUCCUCCAUAGAAACCUUCGAUUCUGUUGUAGUAUGACUCAAAAUUUGAUGGAUGGAGAAUAUUGUUGCUAAAAAUAUAAAAGAUUUGUUUCAAAUAUAUUUUGUGCUGAAAAUAUAUUUAUGGACAAUAAAUAUAUUUUUGUAUCGUAUGAAGAACGAUUUGAUGCAAAUAUAUUUUGAAAGGGAAUAUUAUAUUUUUGAUGCAAAUAUUCUUUCACUGAAGGAGAAAAAAAAACGUAUCUUCAGUGUAAUAUUUGUUCCAAAUUUAUGAGUUAUACUUUUACUAUAAAUAUAGACCUUGUAUCAGGCUAAAUUUGAGAGAGAGAGAGAUAGAGGGGGCUCAAACAAGGGUUUAGAAUGGCAACAACAAAACUAGGGUUUGUAUAGAGUUUGUCUCUUGGGAACAAACACUAGGGUUUGAGGGUUGAUUCACCUUGGGAAACACUAUUAGGAUUGAGUCUCUUGGUUACGAGAAGAGAUUGGGGCUUUGGGUAGAAUUAGGCGGGAGACUUAUUCUUGUAACCCAUUGAUUUCUCUUUUGUAACGUUACUCAUCAUAUAGUGGAACGGAGGGCUGCUCUCUCCCCAGACUAGGUCAAUUUGGACCGAACUGGGUCAAUAAAUUCUUUUGUGUUCUUGUCUUCUUUGUGUUCUUCUCGCCGUUGUUUUCUACUUUUGGCUUGUAUUUAAUUGUUCCAUACACUUUGUUUUGGUUGCUUGAUUAUCUCUUGCUCCACACAUCAAGUUGUUAUUGGUGUGAUAUUUUCAUCGAAUACGCAACAAUUGGCGCCCACCGUGGGGCAAGGGUCAAAGGAUAAUUAAGUACCUGAAGGAAAAAUCGAUUUGCAUUACAGAAUAAGCAGCGGAAAAAUUUCGAUUUUCUUUCCUUGGAUCAUUACGAAUUACACAUGAAUCAGUGAUUCGAUUGUUACCUCGAAGUGUGAAACUGAAACUGAAAGCUGGAAUCUGGAAACCGGAAUCACGAUCACAGCAAAGCAAGCAGCAAGCAGCAAAGCCUCUAGCAAGUCCACACGAACAGUGCUCCUCCAAAACUCGGUGCUAACCAAGGAAUCGGAAGUCUCAGAGAGCUAGGGUUUCUUCAAAGCGCGUAACCUCAAACCUCAGCACUAGGGUUCUAUUUAUAGAACUCCUUGUGUGCUAUGCAAGUCAGAAGCCACUAUUGGACUUCACUAAGACCAAUAACGAGUUUAGUAAUUUUGCUAACUAAUUAGCUUUAUUUACUAAAUACACCCCUUAUAUAAGUCGUACUUAUAUAUUUCUCUUUUGACUGUUCUUUGUGUGUGACCCUAUAGGUUCUGGUCACGUUGGCAAUAAUAUUAAAUCUGAUAUUUAAUAUUAUAAACAAUGAGCGGUAUCUAGCAACACAUCAUUGCUACCCAAGUGACAAGAAUGUCAAGUGAUCUGACGAAACCUUUCAUGAUAAUAUUCAUGUGUAUAAUUACUCCUUUGUCUCGAUACCUUUUAUUGAUCUCAAGACAUAGGUAUUGUCACCUUUGUAUAGAUCAAUUAUUAUAUUUCUUGAUUCCGAAAUAUACUGAAUAACGAAUAAGUCCAAUAUCUCAUAUUGACUUAGUUCGGCAUGGCCAUGCAAUUUUACAGUCAUAUUUCAUCAAGAGGCCUAAAGAUAUAUCUCUUGUUUAUGAGGAGGGACAAAUCCCAUCUAGGACAGUCAUGUCCCUUAGCAUGAUUCAUCAAGUACCCAUCAACCAACGUUAUGAUUAUCCUUUUACAGACAACGUUAGAAUGGCAACAAAGCACUUGAGUCCACAUCUAGGGAUCAUAGUGGUUUCAGGUGUAAGAGCGAUAUACAUUAUUAUCAUUGUGAGAAUAUCUUAUGACAAUUUCAUAACUUACUAUGUAGUAUUCUCACGGUGGGUCAAUCCAAUAUAAAUAUUACUCCUAAUAUUUAUAUCUAUGUAUAGACUUGAUAUCUCAUAUCUAUGACCCAUGAGAUGCGGUCAUCAGUCUACAUACAUAAUAGUCUCGACGCUUUAUUAUUAUCCUUUAUUCAUAUUAAAGCUUCGACUACGGAUAUAUUUAAGAAUAGCGUUCUUUAAGAUAAUGUAAUCUCAUGAUUAAGUCACACUUAAUAUAUUAUUACACGAACUAUCUAUUCUAAGGACUUUAUUAACAUUAUCUAAAUAUAAUAAAGAGUGCCAUAUAUUAUUCAAUAAUAAAAGUCAUGAUACAUAAGAUAGGUUUAACAUAAACUAUUGGCCUCUAGGGCUUACACCAACAGUAACAUGGGUUCAAAGUGGGAUAUUGAGAAGUUUACCGGAGAUAACAAUUUUGGGUUAUGGAAGGUAAAGAUGGAAGCCGUGUUAAUACAACAAAAGUGUGAGAAAGCUUUGAAGGGUGAAGGUUCGUUACCGGUCACCAUGUCACGAGCGGAGAAGACCGAGAUGGUGGACAAGGCCAGGAGUGCCAUUGUCUUGUGCCUCGGGUAUAAAGUUUCGAGAGAAGCAGCAAUGGAAACAACCGCAGCAUCGAUGUGGUCAAAGUUCGAAUAUUUGUAUAUUACAAAGUCUUUGGCUCAUUGGAAAGUCCUAAAGCAACAACUUUACUCAUUCAAGAUGGUAAAGUCAAAGGCUAUCAUGGAGCUACUUGUGGAGUUCAACAAAAUCAUUGGUGAUUUGGAGAACAUUAAGUGUGGUGUUGUUUGGAGGAUGAAGAAGGUGAUGUGUCUCACCUUGGGAUUGAUGCCUAGUGGAGCGGUGGUCGUCUGGAGAGACGUUAAACACUCAACAUCAGCCUGGAGAGGCGGUGGUAAGAAUACUCAUGAUCAGUCUAGAGAGGCGGAGGCAACAAUACUCAUGAUCUACCUGUUGAGGUGGAGUUUCAAGGUUGAAGACAUAGUGGGAAGUACGCAUUUGCUAGUUGAGGUAACAUUGUCUAAUGUUGAAGACAUAGUGGGAAGUACCCAUAGAUCUAGUAUGACCAUCAUGCUUCUGCUGGGCAAGAGCUUUAGUAAGUGGAUCAGCAACAUUGUCUAAUGUUGGUACUUUGCAUAUUUUAACAUCUCCUCUUUCGAUAAUCUCUCGAAUAAGAUGAUAACGCCUUUGUAUGUGUUUGGAUUUCUGGUGAGAUCUAGGUUCUUUGGCUUGUGCGAUUGCUCCAUUGUUAUCACAUAGUAAUUCAAUGGGAUCCACAAUACUUGGAACUAUUCCAAGAUCAGAAAUGAAUUUCUUAAUCCAAACAGCUUCCUUUGCGGCAUUGGAUGCAGCAAUAUACUCGACUUCGGUUGUAGAAUCAGCGACUGUUUCUUGCUUUGAACUUUUCCAGCUCACAGCACCGCCAUUUAAGCAAAACACAUAUCCAGAUUGCGAUUUAAAAUCAUCAUGAUCGGUCUGAAAACUAGCAUCAGUGUAACCAAUUACAGAGAGCUCUUCUUGACCUCCAUAGAUCAAGAAGGUAUCCUUAGUUCUUUUCAAGUACUUAAGGAUAUUCUUGACAGCAAUCCAAUGAUCGUUGCCAGGAUUAGACUGGUAUCUGCUCGUAGCACUUAAAGCAUACGAGACAUCUGGUCGAGUACAUAUCAUAGCAUACAUGAUAGAACCAAUUGCUGAAGCAUAUGGAAUAUCACGCAUUCGAUCCCUUUCUUCAUCAGUCGAAGGGGAUUGAGUCUUUGAUAGAUUUAUUCCUGACGACAUAGGGAUGAAUCCUUUCUUGGUAUGCUUUGAUGAUUUACGAUGAUUUGAAUGAUUUGAUCGAUGACGUGAUAAGUUAUGAGUUUUGGAAGAUUAGAUAAGGAUAUGAGAAUUAUUUUAUUGUUAAAUAAAAUAAAGAUUUAAAAAUAAUAUAAAAUAUUUAGUUAAGGGUUGUUUUGAUAUUUUAGAUAGUUUUGGGGGAGAAAGUGAGAUAAGAUAAGUAAUUAGGAAGAGAUAUAAAUAGAAGACCUAAUAUUUUAGAAACUCAUUGUACGUGAAAACUUUUGGAAAAGGGAGAAAAAGCAUAGAAGGGAGAAGAGCAUAGAGAGGGCUGCGAUUUCUUCAUAACCAGGUAAGGGUGAGACUAAUAACUCAGUAUUGUUAAUUGAAUGUGAUUCUGAUGAUUAGUUAACAAGAAUUAGGAUUGAAUUGGAGAAAACGAAAACUAGGUCAAAACCUUAGAAUUGAUGAUCAAACGGUGAGAAUUGGUUUAAUUGAUGUAGAAAGUGUUCCUAGACCUUAGAUAAUGUUUAGGACGAACUUUGGAAUCAAAAACAAGCUUAGAACCAUGUGAAUCGUCGAGUUUUUGUGAAUUUAGAAAGUCUGGCCGUAGCGACAUUCAUCGCUCGCCACGGCGAGCUAUGAUCCUCGCCUCGCGAGUGAUGAUCUUCAUCGCUCGCCUCGCGAGCCCUUUCCCUUCGCCUCGCGAGUGCUUUUGGUAUCGCUCGCCAUUGCGAGCAACCUUACUCGCCAUAGCGAGCUAAGGCAGAGAGCAUGUUAGAUUUUGUAUUUUCGACUUUUUAGUUGGACCUUGAAUGCCUUAGAAUGCCUGAACAUACCUAGUAAUGAUUAGGAAUGAAUGUAGGGCAAGAUUAGACCCAGAACAACUUUUGUUUGGGAAUUGUUUAGUACUCGCCAUGGCGAGCAAGAACUCUCGCCUCGCGAGCACCUCCAGCCUUGAGUGUUAUGAGUGUUUGUGCGAUCUGUGUCGCACGUUUUGAUCAAGAGCGAACCCCCUUAUGAUAAUAAGACCUAAUGAUGACGUUAAGUGCAGUCUGUAAAGCUGUUUAAGAUAUGUUGAUAUUGAUUGAGUAUGAUUAAUGUAUGGUACAUUUAUGUAAUUGAUGACGAUUGUCAUGUCCAUAAUGCUAUGUCACAUUGUCACAUAGUCUAAGAGUAUUGUCACAUUGUCAUGUCCAUAAUGCUAUGUUGUUGAUGACGAUUGAAUAUGUGGAUACGUGAUACUUGUUUAUUGAAUAUGUGAAUACGUGAUAUUUGUUUAUUGAAUAUGUGGAUACGUGAUACUUGUUUAUUGAAUAUGUGAAUACGUGAUAUUUGUUUAUUGAAUAUGUGAAUACGUGAUACUUGUUAUUUGAAUAUGCAAAGUUAUCCAAGAAUGAUUAUGAUGUUAAUGUUAAUUAUGAUUCGAAUUACUUUGAUUAACAUUAUUUUGUUAUGAAAUCUCACCCCUUUCUGCUUAAAAAUGUUGCCCUUCGUAUGGGUAACUUGCAGGUGAUCGUGCUUAGUGUGCAGUUGCUUCUGUGAGUGGCCUUGCCUCACUGUGUCGUCUAGGUCGCUCUGAUACGUAACGGGAUGGGGUUAUAUGUUAUACAUGCUUCAUUCUCUUACAUGACUAAUAUGUUAUUUUAAAUAUUGAUAUGGAUUAUGAUAUGAACUGUUUGAUGGGGCCUGCGUGCCAAAACGUUUUAUGACUAUGAUAUAAUUUCCGCUGCAAUGUUUAAGAUAUUGGUUGAAUUAUUAUUUAACUGUUUUGGAUUAUGUUUUAUGUGAUAUCCCGUUGUUUAUGAUGCUUACUCUGAUAAAUGUUUUUAAGAAUUUUCAUGUUGGGAAAACGGGGUGUUACACCAUGCCUUUGUCUACUGAAAUUCACAAAACUGUUUUUGAUCUUGGUGGUGACUCUGCUCCAGGGCCUGAUGGCUUCCCUGGACACUUUUAUCAAAAAUUCUGGCACAUUAUUGGUGAGGAUGUGAUCAAGUCAACACAGUAUGUCUUCAUGCACAAUUACAUCAUGCCUAAUCUGAAUUCUAACUUGAUAAUCUUGAUCCCUAAAAUCCAUGGUGCUGAUAGUUUGGACAAUUUCAGGCCUCUUGCUCUUGCUAACUUCCAAUUUAAAAUUAUCACUAAGAUCCUUGCUGAUGGGUUGGGAAUUAUUGCUUCCAAGAUCAUUUCUAUACAUCAAAGAGGUUUUAUCCCAGGAACACAUAUACAAGAUUGUAUCAUGAUUGCUUCUGAGGCAGUCAAUCUUUUACAUAGGAAAGCUUAUGGGGGUAACCUAGCCAUUAAAAUUGAUGUUAGAAAGGCUUUUGACACUUUGAAUUGGAAGUUUUUGAUACAUGUUCUGCACGGCUUUGGAUUUAAUCAGACUUUCUGUGAUUGGAUCAUGACUAUCCUUCAAUCAACAAAACUUUCUAUUUGUAUCAAUGGGAAAGUUGUGGGCUUCUUUAAUUGCACAAGGGGGGUGAGACAGGGUGACCCUCUCUCUCCUUUAUUGUUCUGUAUUGCUGAGGAAGUCCUUAAUAGAGGCAUUGAGGCUCUAGUGGUUGAUGGCAGGCUUACUCAGAUAAGUGCUACUAGAAAUCUCUUCAUUCCUAGCCAUUGCUUAUAUGCUGAUGAUAUUUUAAUAUUUUGCAAAGGCACAUUGGCUAAUGUUAGAAACCUAAUGCAUUUGUUUGACUGCUAUGGAAAGUAUUCAGGGCAAAUUGUGAAUGCCAACAAAAGCAAAUUCUACUCUAGCGCUCUUUCUUUGUCUAGAAAUCACACUAUCAGUGCUAUUACAGGAUUUAGUCAUGGGACUAUCCCUUUCACUUACUUAAGUAUUCCUCUAUUUAAGGGGAAACCUAUAUCUAUAUACUUCAGACCUAUUGUGGAUAAAAUCAUAUACAAACUCAAUGCAUGGAAAGGGAGAUUGCUUACUAUAAUGGGGAGAGUGCAGCUGGUGAAUGUUGUUAUCUGCAGCAUGCUCACAUACUCUUUUCACGUUUACAAGUGGCCCUCCAAUAUGCUUUCUGAAGUUUCUAAGGCUAUGAGGAAUUUCAUCUGGAGUGGGAGUUUUGAUCAGAGAAAACUCUGUACUGUCUCAUGGUCCACUAUCUGCAAGGCUAAAGAUGAAGGGGGGCUUUCUGUGAAGGAUCCUGUGAAGAUGAAUCAUGCUUCUCUUCUAUAUCUUACUUGGCAGCUCUUGACUUUAGAGGAGAAUUGGGCUCAUAUAUGUAGAACCAGAUUUCUGCAAAAUGGGCAUCCUAAGGCUCAUUAUAUUACAUCUUCAGUGUGGCCUGGUAUGAAAAAACAUGUUAAUUUGAUUCUUGAGUAAGCUAUUUGGUUUGUGGGAAAUGGGAGAAGCAUAAACUUUUGGACUGACAAUUGGUUAGAGAGACCCAUAUUGCAGAUCUUUGGGGUAUUCCUCAUUCUCUUCUUCACCCUAUCAACAUGAAGGUUUCUGAUUGCAUUAAGGAAAAUAAUUGGAAUAUUCCUGAUUAUAUUUGGAAUAGAGAUGCUGCUCUAGCUGUCAAGAUCCUCAAAAUCACCUUACCAGUUUGUGAUAUCUCCGAUAAGCUUAUUUGGAAGCAUGCCACUGAUGGGAAUCUCACUAACAAGCUGGCUUAUGAUUUUCUGAAUGGCUAUAGCCAGAAGGUGCCCUGGACUAAACUUUUGUGGAAUUCUUAUAUUCCUCCCUCUAGAGCCUUUAUCACAUGGAGGAUGCUUCACAACAAGCUUCCAACUGAUGAUAACCUCAGGAAAAGAGGAUGUUAUAUCGUUUCUAUUUGCUGCUUCUGCAUGAAACACAUUGAAUCUACUCAUCAUGUGCUUUUUGAAUGCCCUGUUACUUUUAAGCUUUGGGAUUGGCUUAGCAAAGGGACUGAUCAAAGCUUGGAUUUCACUUCUUGUUCUUCUCUUCUUUUAGGCAGGAUUGGUAUGGGUAGCAAACUUGUGCAGCAAGUUCUGAACUCUUCUAUCAUACACUUAAUAUGGGCUAUUUGGAUUGAAAGAAAUAAUAGAUAUUUCCAUGACAAGCAUCAAUCUAUGUCUUCCAUCUUUAAUUCUAUGCUUGCUGAAGUGAAACUUAGUUUUAGAUUAAGCUUGGUCCAUGGUGCUUCAGCUAUGCAGGAUCACAAGAUAGCUCAGCUAUUUAACAUUCCCCUCAAAAUUAAGAGAAUCAGACAGGUUCAAGAUAUUGUCUGGUGUCCUCCCUCAUAUGAUACUGUUAAGUUUAAUUGUGAUGGCUCAUCAGUUGGGGUUCAUCCUUGUGGGGGCAUUGGUAUUGUUAUUAGAGAUUCCAAUUUUGCAUUCUUGGGAGCUAUAUCUAGUAACAUUGGUCAUGCUUCAUCCAUUGAAGCUGAGUUCAGUGCCUGCAUGCUUGCUUUUGAGAAGGCUAUGGAGAUGGGUUUGAGCAGCAUCUGUUUGGAGUUUGAUUCUAUCAAAGUUGUCAAAGCUUUUAAUGAGGAUAUUGGUGUUCCUUGGCAGAUGCGUGCGCGGUGGUAUAAUUGCAUUAGGUUCUGUAAAAGUAUCUCUUGUUCUUGUGUGCACACUUUUAGAGAAGGGAACAUGGUGGCAGAUGCUUUGGCCAAACAUGGACAAGGUCUCUCUUUAUUUUCCACUCAGUGGUGGCCUUCACCACCCCCUUUCCUUCAUUCUCUUCUUUUAAGGAAUAGCUUAGGCAUGCCUUACUCUAGACUGGUUAUGACUUGAUUGCUCUCAUUCCUUAGUGGAUUGUGUGGUGCAGCUUGCUUUGUUCUUUUGCUGUUUUGUUUGUUGUGUGGUUGUUUGUAUUCGGUUCAGGCCUCUCCUGGCUUUAUAUUGAUUUUUAGCUUGAUAAAAAAAAAAAAAACUCUUAAUUUUAAUCAAGGAUAAUUUAACUUAAUUUAUGAUUAUUAAAAUAAAAACUAUAUUAGAAAAAACAUUUUUCUCCUGAUACCGAUAUAUAUUUACAAAUUUGUUUGAAAUUUGCAUAAUAGAUAUCCAUAAUGAUAUUUGAAAGAUGAAAUUUUAUCCAUAUUUCAAAAGAAAAUGAGACAUGCACCCUUUAUAACAGAGAUGAUAGAAAAAUAUAACAGUUAAGUUGGGCGCAUUUUUUUUAAUUAUUUUUAAACAUUAAUUUGGAUUCCACCAAAUUAAUGAAGUCUCAUCUUCUUUAAUGAAUAUCUAUCUUCUUUGUACAUAAACUCUCAUCAAAUGAAAUCUUCGAUCUUCAUUUUAUGACUCAAUAUUGUUGAAGGAGUAUCCGAGUAUGUGAUAUUGACAAGGCACAUGUACCUUUUUAAAAUUGGUAAUUUAAGGCCAACAUUUGGGAUUUUUUAAACCAAAUAUCACCAUUUUUGGGCCAAAAACAUGGUUGUCAAUAGUUCAACUUUGUAUCUUUGAUAAUAGAUUGGAAUAAGAUUCAGUUCCUCUUUUAUCUUCUUCUCUACAAAAUAACUUAUAAUUCAAUAGUUCAACAUUGUAUCGAUCAUUGUUGUCAAAAUCCCGACUUAAAUAAUUGUUCUUUAUUUAAAUAAUUGUCACCAUGCAAAUCACAAAGAAAGCUUUAUUUUUGGGUCUAAUUAAAGAGACAUCUUUCUAAAGCUUGAUGUAACCAUUAUUAAUCAUCCAUUCAAGACUCCAAUGUAGGUUUGCAUUCUUAAAAGCCCAGUAAGACCAACCAAAUGUUGCUUCACCAAAAACUUCUAUUUGUGCUUUGCCAAAUCUUUGGAAGUCCUCUUUUGUUGCAUCUUUCACUCGCCAAUCAGAAACCCAUUCACCUUUAAUUAAAAAUUUAUUCAUUUCAAAAUUGAUUGCAAUUAAAAUGAUGACUGAAAUCAAACUACAUUUUUAUGGACAAUUAUACUGAAAUUUUUUAAGACUUACCGACGAAAGUAAGAGGACCAUUCGAUGUUGUAAUAAAAUUCAACUCCGAUGAACGAUUGUUGUAAAUAAAAUCAAUGUUCUGUUGAGCAGACAUGUUUUCAAACGAAUCAUCAAAGAUGUUGUAGUAGUGAACAUCAAUUACAGACCUCAUAAGACCAUUGGCAAGAGGAAAGAGUUCCUUGGGUUCUGAGGGUCCUAGCCUAUUUGACAUAACCACAUAGGUAGUGGUGGAGUGUUUACGCACCGCGUCGUAACCAGCCUUGUAGUACUUGUUUAUGGUCUCUAGGGUUACACCUGGAGAGAGAGGUUCGUUUAAG
rnacentral:lncRNA from 1 species